ACAAACCUUGAUUGGGUGCUGUGAAACAUGUUUGCAGCCUUGGCACUGCAGCCUCAACACAAUCUUCUUUGUGGUUUUAGCCUGGUUGUAUCAGAAAAAAGGAAGAGUAAAUCAAUAAGAAAUCAAAGAGGCGGAAAGAAGAAGCAAUACCAUUUUCGCAGGCCGAGAGGUUAGACAGAAAUAGCAGAGAGCACAAUCGCCGUUCAGCUGGUGCCGAUCGAAAGCCCCAAGA